rnacentral:rRNA from 1 species
GGUUAACGCUGGCGGCGUGCCUAACACAUGCAAGUCGAACGGUUCUAAGCGCGAGCUUAGGAUAGUGGCGAACGGGUGAGUAAAAGGUAGGAAUCUACCCCUUGGACGGAGAUAGCUACUGGAAACGGUAGGUAAACUUCGAUAAGCCCGAGAGGGGAAAGUGGUGAGGCAGCCGAGGGAUGAGCCUACUCUCCAUCAGGUAGUUGGUGAGAUAAAAGCUUACCAAGCCGAUGACGGAUAACCGGUGUGAGAGCAUGAACGGUCACAAGGGCACUGAGAGACGGGCCCUACUCCUACGGGAGGCAGCAGUGGGGAAUCUUGGACAAUGGGCGAAAGCCUGAUCCAGCGACGCCGCGUGGAGGAAGAAGUCCUUCGGGAUGUAAACUUCUUGAACUAGACCGAAUAAAAGGACCUGUGGACACACAGGAGAAGGAAAGUAAGGCUAGGAAAAGUACCCGGGCUAACUAACGUCGGCCAGCCGAGCCGCGGUAAAACUAGCGGUACUA